GAUGAACGCUGGCGGCGUGCCUAAUACAUGCAAGUCGAGCGAACGGACGAGGAGCUUGCUUCUCUGAUGUUAGCGGCGGACGGGUGAGUAACACGUGGAUAACCUACCUAUAAGACGGGGAUAACUUCGGGAAACCGGAGCUAAUACCGGAUAAUAUUUUGAACCGCAUGGUUCAAAAGUGAAAGACGGUCUUGCUGUCACUUAUAGAUGGAUCCGCGCUGCAUUAGCUAGUUGGUAAGGUAACGGCUUACCAAGGCAACGAUGCAUAGCCGACCUGAGAGGGUGAUCGGCCACACUGGAACUGAGACACGGUCCAGACUCCUACGGGAGGCAGCAGUAGGGAAUCUUCCGCAAUGGGCGAAAGCCUGACGGAGCAACGCCGCGUGAGUGAUGAAGGUCUUCGGAUCGUAAAACUCUGUUAUUAGGGAAGAACAUAUGUGUAAGUAACUGUGCACAUCUUGACGGUACCUAAUCAGAAAGCCACGGCUAACUACGUGCCAGCAGCCGCGGUAAUACGUAGGUGGCAAGCGUUAUCCGGAAUUAUUGGGCGUAAAGCGCGCGUAGGCGGUUUUUUAAGUCUGAUGUGAAAGCCCACGGCUCAACCGUGGAGGGUCAUUGGAAACUGGAAAACUUGAGUGCAGAAGAGGAAAGUGGAAUUCCAUGUGUAGCGGUGAAAUGCGCAGAGAUAUGGAGGAACACCAGUGGCGAAGGCGACUUUCUGGUCUGUAACUGACGCUGAUGUGCGAAAGCGUGGGGAUCAAACAGGAUUAGAUACCCUGGUAGUCCACGCCGUAAACGAUGAGUGCUAAGUGUUAGGGGGUUUCCGCCCCUUAGUGCUGCAGCUAACGCAUUAAGCACUCCGCCUGGGGAGUACGACCGCAAGGUUGAAACUCAAAGGAAUUGACGGGGACCCGCACAAGCGGUGGAGCAUGUGGUUUAAUUCGAAGCAACGCGAAGAACCUUACCAAAUCUUGACAUCCUUUGACAACUCUAGAGAUAGAGCCUUCCCCUUCGGGGGACAAAGUGACAGGUGGUGCAUGGUUGUCGUCAGCUCGUGUCGUGAGAUGUUGGGUUAAGUCCCGCAACGAGCGCAACCCUUAAGCUUAGUUGCCAUCAUUAAGUUGGGCACUCUAAGUUGACUGCCGGUGACAAACCGGAGGAAGGUGGGGAUGACGUCAAAUCAUCAUGCCCCUUAUGAUUUGGGCUACACACGUGCUACAAUGGACAAUACAAAGGGCAGCGAAACCGCGAGGUCAAGCAAAUCCCAUAAAGUUGUUCUCAGUUCGGAUUGUAGUCUGCAACUCGACUACAUGAAGCUGGAAUCGCUAGUAAUCGUAGAUCAGCAUGCUACGGUGAAUACGUUCCCGGGUCU
rnacentral:rRNA from 1 species